rnacentral:rRNA from 1 species
UACGGGGGGAGCAAGCGUUGUUCGGAUUUACUGGGCGUAAAGGGCGCGUAGGCGGUCAGCACAAGUCAGUUGUGAAAUCUCCGGGCUUAACUCGGAAAGGUCAACUGAUACUGUGCGACUAGAGUGCAGAAGGGGCAACUGGAAUUCUCGGUGUAGCGGUGAAAUGCGUAGAUAUCUGGAGGAACAACGGUGGCGAAGGCGGCAUCCUGGACCAACACUGACGCUGAGGGAGCGAAAGCCAGGGGAGCAAACGGG